AUACCUUGCCUUGACAUCCCCCUGCCUGUAGUUUUCUCUCUUCCAUUUGCAUCCCGCCUUGGGUUGGGGAGGAGGACGCUGCUUGCUCGGAGAGCUCGAGGCACCUCCAUGAGGGAGGGGGGAGGCGGCUGAUUUUACCUUCACGACAACCCUGUGAGUCGUUAAGUGAAGCACUGCAGUUGUUAUGUUACAUGGUCGUUAAGGAUCCAGCUUCCCCAUUGCCUUCGCUUGUCAGAAGGUGGCAGAAGGGGAUUACAUGA
rnacentral:lncRNA from 1 species